AUGAUGGAGAACAAGGAGAACUACUCUUCCCCUCUAGCUCCGUUGCCGUCCUCUUCUUCAACGCCGACCAUCGCCAACUGCCUUCAGGAACAACUGCAGCGGCAGCAGUUGCCGCAGCCACCAACACCUCAGUGUCUGUCUGAUGUGGAUCCUCCAGCGCAAGCCCCGGCCCAUUCCUUCCACUACCCACCAGCUCCGGGAGGAGUCUCUCACCCCCAAGUUCCCUCAUCGGUCUCUUCCCACAACAUUCGCCACUUCCAGCAGGAGCACCCGAGAUCGGCACCCGCCAAGCCGACUGUUCUCAACCUUUCCGUGGCGAGCCCAGCGAGCUACUCGUCGCAUCGCAAGUCCGUAAAGGUCUAUACAACGGCCGGCUCAUCGAGAUCGUGGGCCAGGACGCCCAGUCCCGUUAAAUCAUUCUGCACACCUCUCGGCACACCCGACUUGGAUGAGCGAGGCAGCAAUGGCGCUAUAUCUUCCAAUGAGCCCCGUUCGAAAUCCGCUCGGACAUUCUACUCUUCUAAAUGCCCGUCUUCGCCCAUCAAAGUUCGUUCUGCAAUUCUGCAGAUCGUGAAACUUCCUGAUGGAACCGAAGAAGCGGUCGUUAAGCGCACCCCGGAGGAGAAGCAUCGGUCGCCUUACACACUAUCGCUCAACAGGUGCAAUCUUCAUCAAUGUCCGGUGAUUCUCGACGAAUGCGGUCUGCAGGUGAUCUGCUACCGCUACAAUCACAUCGUCGAGGUAGAUAACAUGUCUCAAAUGAAGCUCCUCUACGCGCUCGACCUCACAGCCAAUCAUAUAGCGCAGUUGUCCAAUCUUUACACCUUCACCAACCUCAAAGUGCUCAUUGUUGCUCAAAAUAGACUAUCUUCGUUGGACGGUAUUGAAUGUUUGGAAUCUCUCGAGAUCCUCGAUGUAUCGGCGAAUCAACUUCAGUGUCUCCCCGAAUCGGCUCAUCUGACUCGGCUCCAUACGCUGAACAUAGCCGAGAACCGCGUUGCGAAUUUGAAGAAUGUUUGGCACUUCCCCAAUCUUGUCGAAAUCAACGCCAAACGCAACCUAAUCAAACAACUGGGCGGAGUAGAGUUCCUCGACAGACUUCACAAAUUGUUCCUCAGCUGCAAUCAAAUCGAGAGCCUCGAUGCCCUGGGCCCUCUGUCCGAGUGUGGAGAGCUCUGUGAACUAACAUUGAACGGGUGUCCUGUUGCUCAACUCCCUAGCUACCGGCAUCAUGUCAUUGCGAAUGUUGGCAAUAUUAAGUAUUUCGAUUACAAACCUGUUCUGGAUGAUGAGAAAAAGUCUAUCCGACUUGCGAUUCGUCGAGAGGAGCAGCGUCGUAUUUUUGUGUCUAAGAUGGAUCUCUUCGAGAAAACGGUGUCGAGGAUACGGCUGUCGUGCAAAAGCUGGUGGAGCGCGCUCGAACCAGAAAAAAUGUCUGAGGAGGUGGAGCAGGCUCGUCGCUGCGGAAUCGGCGUUUUCGUACACAGCGAAGCCGAGAUGCGCUGUGACAUCAUCAUGCCCACCCCAGGACCAGCUCAUCAAACGACACCCACCCAAAGUCAAGCGACUCCGCCGUCGGCAACGAGUCGCGCGAGUUCGGGGACCAGACACUCGUCGGACCGUGCCACGAUCCUCGAAGAGCUGACGCACAAGAUCUGCGAUAUGGCGGCUUUCCAACUCCUGCAGUUGAGUGAGGAAUACGAGAAACUAUCGCUCUGGGGACCUGCCUCUCUACUUAGUGCUCUGGUAUCUCCUGUUGUUAUAUACGAUCGCGUCCAGACCCUAGUCCUUCACUGCGCUCUGCUUACCCAGGGUGACACCUUUUACAAUCUGCUCACAGUGCUUCCAAAUCUGGCGGAAUUGUUGAUAGAGGACUGCGCUCUGCGAACCCUCAGAGAUCUGUCCAUUGUUUGUGAUGCAAUUUCCAGAAGUGCCGACCACAACAAGGUUUGUUCCAUGAUGAUCACUGACAUCGUUACGAGGACGUGUCAAUCGGCCACCAUAUUGGCAAUAAGGUGUCUUCCAAAUAGGAUUAUCACGUUCAACUCGAAUGUUGUGAAGGCCACGCCGGAGAUUUCCGUAGUCCGCUUGAUGAGGUCGUGUCAUGGUCACUAUUCGGUGACCGAAAGUCAACGUGAGGCGGCUCUUCGAUGCUUCCCCUCGAAGCCCCAAAUAAUCCCCUUGACCAAAAGUGAAACCAUCGCGAAAGAGUCGGUCGUCGGGUUGAGCUCAGGGAAUGAAUGCAUCUUGUUUCAGGAGGGCUCUGCCAUCCUCGCGUCCUGCGUGGCUCGUACCCAGGCGCUAUACAAUGCCUCGAUCCUAUUGGAAAAUAUGCUGAUUAUGUCACCCAGCAGCCCUCGCGACUCUCGCUGA